AUAGAGCGCCGAAAGGCCGCUUAAAACCAUCGCGUACCUAUCCAUCAGCGUUGCUUCGGCGGGCUACGACCCCCCUCCACCCCCGCGAGGGGGGAAGGGGUCCCCGGCGCCCCGCAUCUUCGGGUGCGGGGCGGCCCGCCGGAGGUACGAAACUCUAAUGCAACUUCGUGGCAUCUAUGAGUAAGCAAGCAAAUAAAAGUUA
rnacentral:misc_RNA from 1 species